rnacentral:rRNA from 1 species
UACGGAGGGUGCAAGCGUUAUCCGGAUUCACUGGGUUUAAAGGGUGCGUAGGCGGGCAGGUAAGUCAGUGGUGAAAUCUCCGAGCUUAACUCGGAAACUGCCAUUGAUACUAUUUGUCUUGAAUAUUGUGGAGGUAAGCGGAAUAUGUCAUGUAGCGGUGAAAUGCUUAGAUAUGACAUAGAACACCAAUUGCGAAGGCAGCUUACUACACAAUGAGUGACGCUGAGGCACGAAAUCGUGGGGAUCAAACAGG